CGGGAACAAGGAGGAAGGAGGUUCCCAGUUUUCUGACUCAUCCAGUGCACUUCAUCACUCCAUUUCUGGUCAUUACUGCCGCUCGUAUUGACGAAACGCAGGACUCCGGAGCAAAAACAGAAGGAAAAGGAAACCAAACAGGAAAAGCAAAAGGAAGAAACUCACCAUCACCGAGGAGAGCUACUCCACGCUCUGGCUGUAUGAAGUAUGUGAGUAAAUGGGAUGUUUUGAUUUUUUUUUUUUUUACAUUCCGGCGAGAGAAGGCGAGCUGAAGUCCAGGCUUGAGGGAGUGGGCUGCACGCGUGUGGAGGGAGGAGAAAAGGAGAGAUGGCUGAGCAAGUGUGCCUCAAACAGACGAGCACUUGCUCUCCUCUCUUUCCAGCCCUGCCAUCGCAAAACAAAACGCCCACGCUUCUCUUUCUCUGCUCUGACCCCAGCGCGCUCACUCGUGCUCUCUCUCCCUCCCUCCCCGUGCUCUCGCUCCUUCUCUGUACACAGACGGAGAGACGGCCCCUUCAGAAGGCAGCCAUCCAAUCAGAGACGGACUCUGUUUCUCAGCCCAGCAGUGCACACCCACACAAACAUACACAGAGAGAGAGAGAAAGGGGUGAACGACAGGAGACAGAAAACAUGCAACAGGAUGUUAGUGUGGGUUAGAGGGAAAAGGCUGUAUAUGAACACAAACACAGAUACGAGGAGACAAGGUGAGGGAUUGUAAUUAACAAGAAAAGAUUAGACGAGAACACAACAGACAAGAAAA